AUCUAAGAGAUUAGACGUUCCCUUCGGGGACAUGGAUACAGGUGGUGCAUGGUUGUCGUCAGCUCGUGUCGUGAGAUGUUGGGUUAAGUCCCGCAACGAGCGCAACCCUUAUUAUCAGUUGCCAGCAUUAAGUUGGGCACUCUGGUGAGACUGCCGGUGACAAACCGGAGGAAGGUGGGGAUGACGUCAAAUCAUCAUGCCCCUUAUGACCUGGGCUACUCACGUGCAACAAUGGAUGGUACAUCCUGUUGUAAACUUCUAGAAAUUUAGCUAAUCUCUUAAAACCAUCCAUCAUUCGCAACUUGGUUUACAGAUCUAAUUUCUUAUUAUGCAACAAUCUCUUUAUAACAGAGUUUACCAGUAAUUUAUCAUUGUACUAUCUACUAUUACCUGUUCCUAUCAGGUAAAACUUCACUAAGCACCCUAUUA
rnacentral:rRNA from 1 species